GUUGAUCCUGCGGGAGGUCGCCGCUAUCAGAAUUCGAUUUAACUAAGCUAGCCCAGGGGCCUUCGGGCACCGGCAGACAGUUCCGUAACACGUCACUAAUCUACCCUUAAGUCAGGGAUAACCUUGGAAAACUGAGGCUAACACCUGAUAGGAGAUUAUUACUGUAAUGUAUUUUCUCCCAAAGAUUACGCUUAAGGAUGAGGUGGCGCCUGAUUAGGCUGUUGGUGGGGUAAUGGCCCACCAAACCAAAGAUCAGUAGGGGCCUUGAGAGAGGUAGCCCCGAGGAGGACACUGAGAUAAGGGUCCUGACUCUACGGAGUAUAGCAAGUGCGAAACCUUUACAAUGCAUGAAAGUGUGAUAAGGGAAUUCUGAGUGCUUAUGCUUUGCAUAGGCUUUUGUUAAGAGUAAAAAUCUUGGCGAAUAAGUGGUGGGAAAGACUGGUGCCAGCAGCCGCGGUAACACCAGCGCCACAAGUGGGGACCCGUGUUAUUGGGCCUAAAGCGUCCGUAGCCGGUUUUGUUAAUCUUCUGUGAAAUCGUUAGGCUUAACCUAACGGCGUGCAGAAGACACUGCAAGACUAGAGACCGGGAGGAGUCAGAGGUAUUCCUUGGGUAGCGGUAAAAUGCAAUAAUCCAAGGAAGACCACCAGUGGCGAAGGCGUCUGACCAGAACGGUUCUGACGGUGAGGGACGAAAGCCAGGGGAGCGAACCGGAUUAGAUACCCGAGUAGUCCUGGCUGUAAGCGCUGCGAGCUAGGUGUUGCACAUUCCCCGAGAAUGUGCAGUGUCGUAGUGAAGACGUUAAGCUCGCCGCCUGGGUAGUACGGUCGCAAGACUGAAACUUAAAGGAAUUGGCGGGGGAGCACAACAAGGGGUGCGGCGUGCGGUUUAAUCCAACUCAACGCGGAGAAUCUCACCAGAGGCGACGGCAGGAUGAAAGUCAGGCUAAAGACCUUACUCAACAAGCCAGAGGUGGUGCAUGGCCGUCGUCAGCUCGUGCCGUAAGGUGUCCUGUUAAGUCAGGCAACGAGCGAGACCUGUGCCUACAAUUGCCAGCAGCAGUUUUUCUGGACUGGGCACAUUGUAGGAACUGCCUUUGAAAAAAGGAGGAAGGUGCAGGCAACGGUAGGUCUGUAUGCCCCGAAUCCUCUGGGCUACACGCGCGCAACAGUGGUAAGGACAAUGGGAUACAACUCCGAAAGGAGAAGUUAAUCCUCGAAACCUUACCUCAGUUCAGAUUGAGGGUUGUAACUCACCCUCAUCACGACGGAAUCCCUAGUAACCAGAUGUUAGCAUCGUCCGGUGAAUAUGUCCCUGCUCCUUGCACACACCGCCCGUCAAACCAACCGAGCAGGUUUUUGGUAAACCCUAUUUUUUUGAGUAGGUUGAAUCAGAGAUCAGUGAGGUGGGUUAAGUCGUCACAAGGUA
rnacentral:rRNA from 1 species